rnacentral:lncRNA from 1 species
AGAAAAGUGGGUUGUUGGAGUUGAGCUCGGGCUGCCGUGGGAGGUUGUAGAUAGCUCAACAAAGGCUGAUGUGGUAGUAGGAGGUGCAGGGGUAGUGUCCUUCGAGUUUGGCCAGCUCUGGAAGGUGGUAGAUUCUCCCUGACGGGUUGUAGAGCCGGCAGGGGACAGUGUUGUGUGUGGCGAUCCAGUGCUGCUGUGGACGGGUGUAGAUGCUUCAAGGAGGCCUGAGGCUGUGGUGUUGUCAGGUAAGAGUGUUGUUUCAGUGGAGCCUGGGCUGCUGUGGAAGGUAGUAGAUUCUGGACCAAGGGAUGAUGCUGUGGUACUGCCAGGGGACAGUGUUGUGUCUGUGGAGCCUGGGCUGCUGUGGGAAGCUGUAGAUUCCUGACUGACGCCUGGCAUGGUGGUACUGCUAGGGAAUGCUGUUGUGUGCAUUGAGCCUGGUCGGCUGUGGGAGGUAGUAGAUUCUGGACCAAGGGAUGAUGCUGUGGUACUGCCAGGGGACAGUGUUGUGUCUGUGGAGCCUG